CAUCCCACAUCGUAGGGCGAGAUGAGCAGCCUCCGCCGCCGCCGCCCCUCGCCGGCGGCGGUGCCGCCGCUGGAGGACGAAAACCUCCUCUCCGAGAUCCUCCUCCGCCUCCCCCAUAGCCGUCCUCCCUCCCCCACGCCUCCCUUGUCUGCAAGCACUGGCGCGGCCUCGUCUCCGAUCCAGGCUUCUGCCGAAGGUUCCACCGCCGCCACCGCCGCAACCCUCCCCUCCUCGGUUUCUUCCAAGUAGACGACGGGCUCUCCUUCAUGCCUUCCCUCAAGGCCCCGGAUCGUGUCUCGCCCGAGCGCUUCUCCUUGCAACACCAAGAUUUGGUCGACCGCUUCUUCUCCCUUGGAUGCCGCCAUGGCCUGGCGCUCAUCUACCUUCGCAAGCGUCUCCAGCUCCUUGUGUGGGACCCCGUCACCGGCGACCAGCACCACAUUGCCGCCCCCCCGGGGUUCGACACGGAGACAUCCCCAAUCAGCGGCGCGGUGUUUCGCUCUGCCGGAGACGUACAGCACUUCCAUCUGGCUUUGGUAGGGAGCAGUGAGAGACAAAUUACGCAAGCAGUCGCCCGUGUUUACUCGUCGGAAACCAGUGUAUGGGGCGACCUUAUCACAACACCGCUUCAAUCCGAGGAUGCUGCCCAUUUUCGCAUUGCGGUUUCUACGAUCAAGCCUGCUGUGCUGGUUGGGGGUUGUCUUUACUGGUUGCUUGAUGGGAGCUUGGGUGGGAUCCUUGAAUUUGAUAUGGAUCGGCAAAGACUAGCUGUGAUACCUAUGCCAGUAAAUGACCUAAGGUUUUUCCACUUCUCGAUGAUACGGGCAGAUGGUGGUGGAUUUGGUCUCCUCGUUUUAUCAGGCUUCAGUGCCCAAUUCUGGAAGAGAAGGAUCAAUUGCGAUGGUGUUGCUUCAUGGGUGUUGGGAAGAACCAUUGAAAUUGACAAGCUACUUCACUGUGAACCAGAGUCGAAUGGGAGCCAAUUAAUACUAGGUUUUGCUGAGGACAAUAACGUGGUUCUUUUUUGGACGGACGAGGAUCCCCUGCCGUGGCCAAGCCUACCUUUGAGUCACUGACACACGGGUCCCACAAAGCAUGGGGCCCACCUGUCAGUGACUCAAAGGCAGGGUAUGGCAGGGAUUGCAAAGUCAGAGGAUCCACGUCCUUUUUGGACAGUUGAUGGCCCUGUCAUGUUACAGCUUGAGUCACUACAGUCUGAGAAAGUCUUGGGAACCAAAAUCAUGGCUCACUAUCACUCAUUCGAAAGUGUCUAUACUACAGAAAGAGGAAUCGGUGGUGCUGAAGCUGAUCUUUUGCACAACACAUGAGAUUCUUGUCCAGUUAGAUAUGCUAUUGUGAUUUACUGGUUAAGCAGGUGUCUGGAAUUACAGUCCGGUGGCAGAUGCAGAAACGGCUUUUUUGCUGUAGGUUCUUCCAUUUUAUAUGCUGUGUUGGUGCUGGCAUUAUUCAUUAGUCAACUGGCAUGAAGACACGUUUCGCUUGUUUGUGUUGGCGCUGUCGGUUAUCUCGCUUGCAAGCGUUUGAGGCAAGCCAAAGUCUUCUGUCCUGUGUUGUGUCUGGUCGAGAUUGUAACUACUAUUAUCUGAUUAAGCUGUUGUCUUCUUUUUUUCGUG